rnacentral:rRNA from 1 species
UACAGAGGGUGCAAGCGUUAAUCGGAAUUACUGGGCGUAAAGCGUGCGUAGACGGUUAUGUAAGUCAGAUGUGAAAUCCCCGGGCUCAACCCGGGAACUGCGUCCGAUACUGGCAGGCUUGAAUCCGGGAGAGGGAUGCGGAAUUCCAGGUGUAGCGGUGAAAUGCGUAGAUAUCUGGAGGAACACCGGUGGCGAAGGCGGCAUCCUGGACCGGUAUUGACGCUGAUGCGCGAAAGCCAGGGGAGCAAACGGG